rnacentral:rRNA from 1 species
GACGAACCGAGCGAACGUUGUUCGGAAUCACUGGGCUUAAAGGGCGCGUAGGCGGGUAUUCAAGUCUGUGGUGAAAUCCGGCAGCUUAACUGUCGAAUUGCCAUGGAUACUGGGUAUCUCGAGGGAGGCAGGGGUGCGCGGAACUAAUGGUGGAGCGGUGAAAUGCGUUGAUAUCAUUAGGAACUCCGGUGGCGAAGGCGGCGCACUGGUCCUUUUCUGACGCUGAGGCGCGAAAGCCAGGGGAGCAAACGGG